rnacentral:rRNA from 1 species
UAUCUCUGUAGAGUCUGCAUAUCAAUAAGCGGAGGAAAAGAAACUAACUAGGAUUCCCUUAGUAACGGCGAGUGAAGCGGGAAGAGCUCAAAUUUGAAAUCUUCAAGGUUUUACCUUGACGAAUUGUAGUUUAAAGAAGUGUUUUCUGUUGGAUGUUUUGGUAAAAGUUCUUUGGAAUAGGACAUCAUAGAGGGUGAGAAUCCCGUAUUUGACCAUUACUUCCAGCGUUGUGAUACACUUUCAAAGAGUCGGAUUGUUUGGGAAUGCAGUCCAAAAUGGGUGGUAAAUUUCAUCUAAAGCUAAAUAUUGGCGAGAGACCGAUAGCGAACAAGUACCGUGAGGGAAAGAUGAAAAGAACUUUGAAAAGAGAGUUAAACAGUACGUGAAAUUGUCAAAAGGGAAGCGUUUGACACCAGUGUUGUUUUCUCGAAAAUCAAUUAAAAAAAGUUGGAUUUUGUAUUGUUAAGACCUUAUCAGCUUACUGUACUCUUUUCUUGCUUUUUUUAAUGCACUUUUCGUUUAACAAGUCAACAUCAAUUUCUUUUGUUGUAAAAGAGUCAUUGGAAGGUGGCUUUCACUUCGGUGAAAGUGUUUAUAGCCUUUGGCUUCUGCAAUCGGAGAGAUUGAGGUCUGCAGCGUAGAUCCUUCGGGGCUAGAUACGUAGAUGCUAAGUUAUAGUUUUUUAUAGACAACUUGUUGACUAUAAUAAAUCAUGUAGCUUACUCGUUUGCGCUAUUUUACCUACGCUUAGGAUGUUGAUAGUCACAGCGUGUAC